GCCCGUGUAGCUCAGUGGUAGUAGCGCAUCACUCGUACUCUUAAGCGACAUGAUGAGGUCCGCUGUUCAAUCCAGCGUACGGGCA